GAUGAACGCUGGCGGCGUGCCUAAUACAUGCAAGUCGAGCGAACAGACGAGGAGCUUGCUCCUCUGACGUUAGCGGCGGACGGGUGAGUAACACGUGGAUAACCUACCUAUAAGACUGGAUAACUUCGGGAAACCGGAGCUAAUACCGGAUAAUAUAUUGAACCGCAUGGUUCAAUAGUGAAAGACGGUUUUGCUGUCACUUAUAGAUGGAUCCGCGCCGCAUUAGCUAGUUGGUAAGGUAACAGCUUACCAAGGCAACGAUGCGUAGCCGACCUGAGAGGGUGAUCGGCCACACUGGAACUGAGACACGGUCCAGACUCCUACGGGAGGCAGCAGUAGGGAAUCUUCCGCAAAGGGCGAAAGCCUGACGGAGCAACGCCGCGUGAGUGAUGAAGGUCUUCGGAUCGUAAAACUCUGUUAUUAGGGAAGAACAAAUGUGUAAGUAACUAUGCACGUCUUGACGGUACCUAAUCAGAAAGCCACGGCUAACUACGUG
rnacentral:rRNA from 1 species